GUCUGUUAGCCGAUACCUGCAGUCGACGGUGAGCAGGAGCUUGCUCUUGUGGAUCAGUGGCGAACGGGUGAGUAACACGUGAGCAACCUGCCCCUGACUCUGGGAUAAGCGCUGGAAACGGCGUCUAAUACUGGAUAUGUGACGUGACCGCAUGGUCUGCGUUUGGAAAGAUUUUUCGGUUGGGGAUGGGCUCGCGGCCUAUCAGCUUGUUGGUGAGGUAAUGGCUCACCAAGGCGUCGACGGGUAGCCGGCCUGAGAGGGUGACCGGCCACACUGGGACUGAGACACGGCCCAGACUCCUACGGGAGGCAGCAGUGGGGAAUAUUGCACAAUGGGCGAAAGCCUGAUGCAGCAACGCCGCGUGAGGGAUGACGGCCUUCGGGUUGUAAACCUCUUUUAGCAGGGAAGAAGCGAAAGUGACGGUACCUGCAGAAAAAGCGCCGGCUAACUACGUGCCAGCAGCCGCGGUAAUACGUAGGGCGCAAGCGUUAUCCGGAAUUAUUGGGCGUAAAGAGCUCGUAGGCGGUUUGUCGCGUCUGCUGUGAAAUCCCGAGGCUCAACCUCGGGCCUGCAGUGGGUACGGGCAGACUAGAGUGCGGUAGGGGAGAUUGGAAUUCCUGGUGUAGCGGUGGAAUGCGCAGAUAUCAGGAGGAACACCGAUGGCGAAGGCAGAUCUCUGGGCCGUAACUGACGCUGAGGAGCGAAAGGGUGGGGAGCAAACAGGCUUAGAUACCCUGGUAGUCCACCCCGUAAACGUUGGGAACUAGUUGUGGGGUCCAUUCCACGGAUUCCGUGACGCAGCUAACGCAUUAAGUUCCCCGCCUGGGGAGUACGGCCGCAAGGCUAAAACUCAAAGGAAUUGACGGGGACCCGCACAAGCGGCGGAGCAUGCGGAUUAAUUCGAUGCAACGCGAAGAACCUUACCAAGGCU
rnacentral:rRNA from 1 species